rnacentral:rRNA from 1 species
CGGAGGAAAAGAAACCAACAGGGAUUGCCUCAGUAACGGCGAGUGAAGCGGCAAAAGCUCAAAUUUGAAAUCUAGCACUUUCAGUGUUCGAGUUGUAAUUUGAAGAAGGUAACUUUGGUUUUGGCUCUUGUCUAUGUUCCUUGGAACAGGACGUCACAGAGGGUGAGAAUCCCGUGCGAUGAGAUGCCCAAUUCCAUGUAAAGUGCUUUCGAAGAGUCGAGUUGUUUGGGAAUGCAGCUCUAAGUGGGUGGUAAAUUCCAUCUAAAGCUAAAUAUUGGCGAGAGACCGAUAGCGAACAAGUACAGUGAUGGAAAGAUGAAAAGAACUUUGAAAAGAGAGUGAAAAAGUACGUGAAAUUGUUGAAAGGGAAGGGCUUGAGAUCAGACUUGGUAUUUUGCGUUCCCUUCCUUUUUGGUUGGGUUCCUCGCAGUUUACUGGGCCAGCAUCGGUUUGGAUGGUAGGAUAAUGACAUUGGAAUGUAGCUUUACUUCGGUGAAGUGUUAUAGACUUUGUUGAUACUGCCUAUCUAGACCGAGGACUGCGUCUUUGACUAGGAUGCUGGCGUAAUGAUCUUAAGCCGCCCGUCUUGA